rnacentral:tRNA from 1 species
GAGGGUAUAGCUCAGUGGUAAAGUGCGUGCCAAGCAUGUGCAAGGUCCUGGGUUCAGUCCCCAGUACCUCCA